rnacentral:rRNA from 1 species
UACGUAGGUGGCAAGCGUUGUCCGGAUUUAUUGGGCGUAAAGCGAGUGCAGGCGGUUCAAUAAGUCUGAUGUGAAAGCCUUCGGCUCAACCGGAGAAUUGCAUCAGAAACUGUUGAACUUGAGUGCAGAAGAGGAGAGUGGAACUCCAUGUGUAGCGGUGGAAUGCGUAGAUAUAUGGAAGAACACCAGUGGCGAAGGCGAGAACUUAGGCUAUCACUGACGCUUAGGCUCGAAAGUGUGGGGAGCAAAUAGG